UACGUAGGGGGCGAGCGUUGUCCGGAUUUACUGGGCGUAAAACGCUUGUAGGUGGCCACGCCAAGUCGGAUGUGAAAUCUCCCGGCUUAACUGGGAGCGGUCAUUCGAUACUGGCGGGCUCGAGGCAGGUAGGGGGAAGCGGAAUUCCCGGUGUAGUGGUGGAAUGCGUAGAUAUCGGGGAGGAACACCAGUGGCGAAGGCGGCUUCCUGGACCUGUUCUGACACUGAGGAGCGAAAGCGUGGGGAGCGAAUCCGG
rnacentral:rRNA from 1 species